rnacentral:rRNA from 1 species
CAGUAGCCGCGGUAAUACGUAGGUGGCGAGCGUUGUCCGGAUUUAUUGGGCGUAAAGGGAGUGUAGGCGGUCUUUUAAGUCUGAUGUGAAAGCCCACGGCUCAACCGUGGAGGGUCAUUGGAAACUGGGAGACUUGAGUGCAGAAGAGGAGAGCGGAAUUCCAUGUGUAGCGGUGAAAUGCGUAGAUAUAUGGAGGAACACCAGUGGCGAAGGCGGCUCUCUGGUCUGUAACUGACGCUGAGGCUCGAAAGCGUGGGGAGCAAACAGGAUUAGAUACCCCUGUAGUCCCUGUCUCUUAUAA